rnacentral:ribozyme from 1 species
UGCCCAGCAACUCCCAUCUCUACCUCCGCGUGGUACCGGCUGGAAACUAUGAGUAACCUUAGGGUUUGCUCCUGCAAACCUGAGCAUCUGUUCUCCAGGAGGAGUG